UCCUUCGGGAGCACCGGCGGACUGCUCAGUAACACGUGGACAACCUACCCUCGGGUGGGGGAUAACCUCGGGAAACUGAGGCUAAUACCCCAUAGGCCUCGGAUACUGGAAGGUUCCGAGACCGAAAGCUCCGGCGCCCGAGGAUGGGUCUGCGGCCUAUCAGGUAGUUGGUGGUGUAAAGGACCACCAAGCCUACGACGGGUACGGGCCCUGAGAGGGGGAGCCCGGAGAUGGACUCUGAGACACGAGUCCAGGCCCUACGGGGCGCAGCAGGCGCGAAACCUUCGCAAUGCGCGAAAGCGCGACGAGGGGAGCCCGAGUGCCCUUCCUUUCGGGAGGGCUUUUCUGGAGCCUAAAAAGCUCCAGGAAUAAGGGCUGGGCAAGACGGGUGCCAGCCGCCGCGGUAAUACCCGCAGCUCGAGUGGUGGCCACUAUUAUUGAGCCUAAAGCGUCCGUAGCCGGACCCGUAAAUCCCUGGGUAAAUCCUGGCGCUCAACGUCAGGAAUUCCGGGGAGACUGCGGGUCUUGGGACCGGGAGAGGCCGGANGCACUCCCGGGGUAGGGGUAAAAUCCUGUAAUCCCGGGGGGACCACCUGUGGCGAAAGCGUCCGGCUUGA
rnacentral:rRNA from 1 species